AGAGUGAACGCUGGCGGUAGGCCUAACACAUGCAAGUCGAACGGCAGCACAGUGGUAGCAAUACCAUGGGUGGCGAGUGGCGGACGGGUGAGGAAUACAUCGGAAUCUACCUUUUCGUGGGGGAUAACGUAGGGAAACUUACGCUAAUACCGCAUACGCCCUUUGGGGGAAAGCCGGGGAUCGCAAGACCUGGCGCGGAUAGAUGAGCCGAUGUCGGAUUAGCUAGUUGGUGAGGUAAUGGCUCACCAAGGCGACGAUCCGUAGCUGGUCUGAGAGGAUGAUCAGCCACACUGGAACUGAGACACGGUCCAGACUCCUACGGGAGGCAGCAGUGGGAAUAUUGGACAAUGGGCGCAAGCCUGAUCCAAGCCAUACCGCGUGGGUGAAGAAGGCCUCGGUUGUAAAGACCCUUUGUUGGUAAAGAAAAGUAAAGUACGUUAAAGUACCGGUUAGUUCUGACGGUACCAAACGAAUAAAGACACCGACUAACUUACCGUGUACCAGCAGCCGCCGGUAA
rnacentral:rRNA from 1 species